rnacentral:rRNA from 1 species
UACGUAGGGUGCAAGCGUUAAUCGGAAUUACUGGGCGUAAAGCGUGCGCAGGCGGUGAUGUAAGACAGGUGUGAAAUCCCCGGGCUUAACCUGGGAACUGCAUUUGUGACUGCACGGCUAGAGUGUGUCAGAGGGGGGUAGAAUUCCACGUGUAGCAGUGAAAUGCGUAGAGAUGUGGAGGAAUACCGAUGGCGAAGGCAGCCCCCCUGGGAUAACACUGACGCUCAUGCACGAAAGCGUGGGGAGCAAACAGG